rfam:Paludibacter propionicigenes WB4, complete genome.
AAAAAAGCAAAUAAGAGCGAACGGUGGAUGCCUUGGCUCUGGGAGGCGAUGAAGGACGUGAUAAGCUGCGAUAAGCUCGGGGGUGGUGCAAAUAACCUAUGAUCCCGAGAUUUCCGAAUGGGGCAACCCAACAUAGUGAAGCUAUGUUAUCCCGCUAUGCGGGAGGCGAACGAGGGGAACUGAAACAUCUAAGUACCCUUAGGAGAAGAAAACAAAAGUGAUUCCGCAAGUAGUGGCGAGCGAACGCGGAGAAGCCCAAACCAAUGAUGUAGUAAUGCAUUGUUGGGGUUAUAGGACUGCGAUAUUUGGAAUAAAAACGAACUGGAACGAUUUGGAAAGAUCGAUCAUAGAGGGUGAUAAUCCCGUACAGGUAAAGUUUUAUUUUGAUAGCAGUAUCCUGAGUAGUGCGGGACACGAGAAAUCCUGUAUGAAUUUGCCGGGACCAUCCGGUAAGGCUAAAUACUCCCCAGAGACCGAUAGUGAACCAGUACCGUGAGGGAAAGGUGAAAAGUACUUCGAAUAGAAGAGUGAAAUAGAUCCUGAAACCGUUCGCUUACAAGCGGUUGGAGCACCUUCGUGGUGUGACAGCGUGCCUUUUGCAUAAUGAUCCUACGAGUUACUUUCACUGGCAAGGUUAAGUAUUUCAGGUACGCAGCCGAAGCGAAAGCGAGUCUUAACAGGGCGCCAUAGUCAGUGGGAGUAGACGCGAAACCAAGUGAUCUACCCAUGAGCAAGUUGAAGUUUCGGUAACACGAAAUGGAGGACUGAACCGGUAUACGUUGAAAAGUGUUCGGAUGACUUGUGGGUAGGGGUGAAAGGCUAAUCAAACUUGGAGAUAGCUCGUACUCCCCGAAAUGCAUUUAGGUGCAGCGUUGCAAUAGUUUAUAUGAGGUAGAGCGACUGAUUGGAUGCGAGGGCUUCACCGCCUAUCAAGUCCUGAUAAACUCCGAAUGCAUAUAAAUGUUUUGCAGCAGUGAGGGCAUGGGUGCUAAGGUCCAUGUCCGAGAGGAAAAGAAUCCAGACCAUCAGCUAAGGUCCCCAAAUAUAUGCUAAGUUGAAUUAACGAAGUCGAACUGCAGUGACAGCUAGGAUGUUGGCUUGGAAGCAGCCAUUCAUUCAAAGAGUGCGUAACAGCUCACUAGUCGAGCGGUUUGGCGUGGAUAAUAAUCGGGCAUAAGCAUAUUACCGAAGCUAUGGAAUUAUACAUUGUAUAAUUGGUAGGGGAGCAUUCCAGUACAGCGUUGAAGGCGUAAGGACAACUUACUCUGGAGCGGCUGGAAAAGCAAAUGUAGGAAUAAGUAACGAUAAGGGAGGCGAGAAACCUCCCCGCCGGAAGACUAAGGUUUCCUGAUCAACGCUAAUCGGAUCAGGGUUAGUCGGGGCCUAAGGUAUAGCCGAUAGGCGAAGCCGAUGGAAGAACUGGUUAAUAUUCCAGUACUACUUAUAAGAGUGAAGUGGGGACGGAGCAGUGAAAGUCCUGCGGCCUGACGGAAUAGGUCGUUAAAGGGUGUAGAUAUUGACGGGGGUAGGCAAAUCCGCUCCUAGAGUCGAACCUGAUAGUACCGAGCGCACUUGUGCAAUCGGAUAUGGAUGUAAUCAGACUCCCAAGAAAAUCCGCUAAACGUUAAUCUUAUAAGUACUCGUACCACAAACGGACACACGUGGUCAAGUAUAGCGUACUAAGGCGCUCGAGUGAUUCACAGCUAAGGAACUAGGCAAAAUAGCCCCGUAACUUCGGGAGAAGGGGCGCUUCCUCAUGUUGAAUGAGAAGCCGCAGAGAAAUGGCCCAGGCGACUGUUUAACAAAAACAUAGGGCUAUGCAAAAUCGAAAGAUGAAGUAUAUGGCCUGACACCUGCCCGGUGCUGGAAGGUUAAGAGGAGAUGUUAUCGCAAGAGACGCAUUGAAUUGAAGCCCCAGUAAACGGCGGCCGUAACUAUAACGGUCCUAAGGUAGCGAAAUUCCUUGUCGGGUAAGUUCCGACCUGCACGAAUGGUGUAACGAUCUGGGCACUGUCUCAGCUGUGAGCUCGGUGAAAUUGUAGUAUCGGUGAAGAUGCCGAUUACCCGCAACGGGACGGAAAGACCCCGUGAACCUUUACUGCAACUUUACAUUGAAUUUGGGUAAUUAAUGUGUAGGAUAGGCCGGAGACUGCGAAGCGGGCACGCUAGUGUUUGUGGAGUCACCCUUGAAAUACGGCCCUUUGAUUAUUUGAGUUCUAACUCCCUUGUAGGGAGGACACUGUAUGGUGGGUAGUUUGACUGGGGUGGUCGCCUCCAAAAGUGUAACGGAGGCUUCCAAAGGUGCGCUCAGGCCGAUUGGUAACCGGUCGUAGAGUAUAAUGGUAUAAGCGCGCUUGACUGAGAGACCGACAAGUCGAUCAGGUAGGAAACUAGGGCAUAGUGAUCCGGUGGUUCCGUAUGGAAGGGCCAUCGCUCAAAGGAUAAAAGGUACUCCGGGGAUAACAGGCUGAUCAUUCCCAAGAGCUCAUAUCGACGGAAUGGUUUGGCACCUCGAUGUCGGCUCGUCACAUCCUGGGGCUGGAGAAGGUCCCAAGGGUUGGGCUGUUCGCCCAUUAAAGUGGCACGCGAGCUGGGUUCAGAACGUCGUGAGACAGUUCGGUCCCUAUCUGUUGUGGGCGCAGGAAAUUUGCGAAGGUCUGACACUAGUACGAGAGGACCGUGUUGGACGAACCUCUGGUCGAUGGGUUGUUCCGCCAGGAGCACUGCCCAGUAGCUACGUUCGGUUUGGAUAAGUGCUGAAAGCAUCUAAGCACGAAGCCAUCUUCAAGAUUAGAUUUCCAUUGAGGGUCGUGGAAGACUACCACGUUGAUAGGUCACAGGUGUAUAACAGAAAUGUAGAGCCGAGUGAUACUAAUUGCCCGAUAGCUUUUUUAG